UUAUAUGUUAUUGGAUUCAGUUGGCUAGUGUUUUGUUUAAGGAUUUCUACAUCUAUAUUUAUAUGGGAUAUUGAUUUGUAUUUUUCUUUUCUUGUGAUAGCUUUGGUUUUAGUGUCACGGUAAUACUGCCCUCAUAGAAGAUGUUGAAGAAUUUUAAGAGAAUGGUGCUGAAGCUUAACUUGGUCACAAAUAGAAGAAUUUUUCAGAGUGAUCACUACACAGCAUGGUGUGAAUGGAUUAGAAGAUUGGAGCAUGGGAAAGAACUAAACCAGGAUACUGGAAAUGUCUGUCUCAUACAGUCAUGCUUGCAAAACACUGCCCCUUUAAAUCGGAAAUACUUGAACAAAUAAAAGUCCAAUUUGAACAAAUCCGUAUGUUCUUUUUAAAUCAAUAAAAAUAAACUUCACUUUUAUGAGACCCUUAAC
rnacentral:lncRNA from 12 species